rnacentral:rRNA from 1 species
CUCCAAUUUUAUUUAAUUAUUAGUACGAAAGGACCAUAAUUAUAUAAUAAUUAUUUAUUAUUGAUUAAUAUUA